rnacentral:rRNA from 1 species
UACGUAGGGUGCGAGCGUUAAUCGGAAUUAUUGGGCGUAAAGCGCACGUAGGCGGCUUUGCAAGUCCCAUGUGAAAUCCCACGGCUUAACCGUGGAAGUGCAUGGGAAACUGCAGAGCUUGAGUACUUAAGAGGAUCGCGAAUUCCCGGUGUAGAGGUGAAAUUCGUAGAUAUCGGUAGGAACACCAGUGGCGAAGGCGGCUGACCUGGCCGUUCUGACGCAUGAG